GACGAACGCUGGCGGCGUGCCUAAUACAUGCAAGUAGAACGCACAGUUUAUACCGUAGCUUGCUACACCAUAAACUGUGAGUUGCGAACGGGUGAGUAACGCGUAGGUAACCUGCCUGGUAGCGGGGGAUAACUAUUGGAAACGUUAGCUAAUACCUCAUAAUAUUGAUUAUUGCAUGAUAAUUGAUUGAAAGAUUCUAUUGCAUCCCUACCAGAUGGACCUGCGGUGUAUUAGCUAGUAUGUGAGGUAACGGCUCACCUAGGCGACGAUACAUAGCCGAACUGGGAGGGGGGUUGGGCAAACUGGGAAUGAGACACGGCCCCGAAUCCUACGGGAGGGCACAGUAGGGGAUCUUCCGGCAUGGACGAAAGGCUGAACGAGCCAAGCCGGGUGAGUGAAGGAGGUUCUCGGAUCGUAAAGCUCCGUUGUAAGAGGAGAACGGGUGUGAGAGUGGAAAGUUCACGCUGUGACGGUAUCUUACCAGAAAGGGACGGCUAACUACGUG
rnacentral:rRNA from 1 species